rnacentral:rRNA from 1 species
AGUGAACGCUGGCGGUAGGCCUAACACAUGCAAGUCGAACGGCAGCACAGUAAGAGCUUGCUCUUACGGGUGGCGAGUGGCGGACGGGUGAGGAAUACAUCGGAAUCUACUUUUUCGUGGGGGAUAACGUAGGGAAACUUACGCUAAUACCGCAUACGACCUACGGGUGAAAGCAGGGGAUCUUCGGACCUUGCGCGAUUGAAUGAGCCGAUGUCGGAUUAGCUAGUUGGCGGGGUAAAGGCCCACCAAGGCGACGAUCCGUAGCUGGUCUGAGAGGAUGGUCGGCCACACUGGAACUGGGACACGGUCCAGGCUCCUACGGGAGGCAGCAGUGGGGAAUAUUGGACAAUGGUCGCAAGCCUGAUCCAGCCAUACCGCGUGGGUGAAGAAGGCCUUCGGGUUGUAAAGCCCUUUUGUUGGGAAAGAAAAGCAGCAGGUUAAUACCCCGCUGUUCUGACGGUACCCAAAGAAUAAGCACCGGCUAACUUCGUG